CCCUUAGAUGUUCUGGGCCGCACGCGCGCUACACUGACGAAUGCAACGAGCUUACAACCUUGGCCGAAAGGUCUGGGUAAUCUCCAAAUUUCGUCGUGAUGGGGAUAGAUUAUUGCAAUUAUUAAUCUUCAACGAGGAAUGCCUAGUAAGCGCAAGUCAUCAGCUUGCGUUGAUUACGUCCCUGCCCUUUGUACACACCGCCCGUCGCUCCUACCGAUUGAAUGGUCCGGUGAAGCGUUCGGACCGUGGCCUUUGGACGGUUCGCCGUCUGUUGGCUGCGGGAAGUUCGUUAAACCUUAUCAUUUAGAGGAAGGAGAANUCGUANCA
rnacentral:rRNA from 1 species